GUGAGGAAUAUUGCGCAAUGGAGGCAACUCUGACGCAGCCAUGCCGCGUGCAGGAAGAAGGCGCUACGCGUUGUAAACUGCUUUUAACCGGGAAGAAACCCCAGGACGUGUCCUGGGUUGACGGUACCGGAGGAAUAAGCACCGGCUAACUUCGUGCCAGCAGCCGCGGUAAUACGAAGGGUGCAAGCGUUAUCCGGAUUCAUUGGGUUUAAAGGGUGCGUAGGCGGAGCGUUAAGUCAGUGGUGAAAUCCUGCAGCUUAACUGUAGACUUGCCAUUGAUACUGGCGCUCUUGAGUGCGCUUGAAGUGGGCGGAAUGUGCCGUGUAGCGGUGAAAUGCUUAGAUAUGAUGUAGAACACCGAUUGCGAAGGCAGCUCACUAAGCAAAUAUUGACGCUGAGGCACGAAAGCGUGGGGAUCAAACAGGAUUAGAAACCCCGGUAGUCC
rnacentral:rRNA from 1 species